GACGAACGCUGGCGGCGUGCUUUACACAUGCAAGUCGAACGGAAAGGCCCUGCUUUUGUGGGGUGCUCGAGUGGCGAACGGGUGAGUAACACGUGAGUAACCUGCCCUUGACUUUGGGAUAACUUCAGGAAACUGGGGCUAAUACCGGAUAGGAGCUCCUGCUGCAUGGUGGGGGUUGGAAAGUUUCGGCGGUUGGGGAUGGACUCGCGGCUUAUCAGCUUGUUGGUGGGGUGGUGGCUUACCAAGGCUUUGACGGGUAGCCGGCCUGAGAGGGUGACCGGCCACAUUGGGACUGAGAUACGGCCCAGACUCCUACGGGAGGCAGCAGUGGGGAAUAUUGCACAAUGGGCGGAAGCCUGAUGCAGCAACGCCGCGUGCGGGAUGACGGCCUUCGGGUUGUAAACCGCUUUCGCCUGUGACGAAGUGUGAGUGACGGUAAUGGGUAAAGAAGCACCGGCUAACUACGUG
rnacentral:rRNA from 1 species